rnacentral:rRNA from 1 species
UGGGGAAUAUUGGACAAUGGGCGAAAGCCUGAUCCAGCCAUGCCGCGUGUGUGAAGAAGGUCUUCGGAUUGUAAAGCACCUUAAGUUGGGAGGAAGGGCAGUAAGUUAAUACCUUGCUGUUUUGACGUUACCGACAGAAUAAGCACCGGCUAACUCUGUGUCAG